GGUGAAGAUAGAGAAAAGGUACCACCCGUUCCCAUUCCGAACACGGAAGUUAAGCUUUUCAUCGCCAAAGAUACUUGGUUGGAAACGACCCGGGAAAUCAGGACAUCGCCA
rnacentral:rRNA from 1 species